rnacentral:lncRNA from 1 species
GCAGGUGGGUGGGUAGAAGAAAGAAGCAAAGGCAACAACACAAGUCUUUUUCCAAGGAGUGGUGGGAAAUAAGCAAUGGAAAAGCUGUCCUCAGAGAUGUGGUGAGGGUGGGGAGGAACAAAGCAGGCAUGGGGAUGGAGAACCCUAUCCUGCUACACACCAUGGAUGCCCAUAGACUGGGACCUGGAGCAGUGGUUCUGAGACUCACGAGGAGGUGAGUGAGGACUUGGAAGUCUGCCUCUGAGUGGUGGAUGAGGCUUACUGUGUUAAGAGAGAACAUAUAUGGGGGCCACUAUGGGCAGUAGUCAGGGAUUGUAAUGACACAGCCUCCCUCCACCUUACCAAUCUGUGCAUCUGGGCUUUCUUUGUAGAUGAUGGAACUGGCCAAGCUCUUAUCUACAGUGAGUGUCCUUUCUGCCUUUUAAAAUUCUUGGAUUUC